GAUUUACUGGGCGUAAAGCGUCUGUAACUGGAAAAAUAAGUCUGUUUUCAAAUACCGUGGCUCAACCAUAGAAAGGGAAUGGAUACUGUCGUUCUACAGGUUAUUAGAGGUUAGUGGAAUUUCCGGUGGAGCGGUGAAAUGUGUUGAUAUCGGAAGGAACGCCAAAAGCGAAAGCAGCUAACUAUAAUAAACCUGACGGUCAGAGACGAAAGCUUGGGUAGCAAACGGGAUUAGAUACCCCGGUAGUCCAAGCCGUAAAUUAUGCUUGCUAGAUGUUUUCUCCAUUUUGGAGGGAGUGUCGUAAUCUAACGAGUUAAGCAAGCCGCCUGGGUAGUAUAUACGCAAGUAUGAAACUCAAAGGGAUAGGCGGGGGAACACACAAGCAGUGGAUUGUCUAGAUUAAUUGGAUAAUAAGCCAAAAAUCUCACCUAAACUUGACAUGUACUGUGUCCUAUGUGAAAGCAUAGUAGUCCGAGCAAUCGGACACGGUAUACAGGUGGUGCAUGGUCGUCGUCAGCUCGUGCCGCAAGGUGUCUAGUUAAGUCUAGGAACGAGCGCAACCCUCAUCUCUAGUUAGAAUGUCUAGAGAGACUGCUCGGGCAACCGAGAGGAAGGAGAGGAUGACGUCAGAUCCUCAUGCCCCUUACGUUUAGGGCUUCAUAGGCAAUACAAUGGGUGAUACAACGAGAAGCAAUACCGCGAGGUGGAGCAAAUCUUUAAAAUUAUCCUUAGUUCGGAUUGUAGUCUGGAACUCGACUGCAUGAAGUUGGAAUUGCUAGUAAUGGCGGGUCAGCUAUACCGCCGUGAAUAUGUCCCUGUUCCUUGCACUCACCGCCCGUCAAACCAUGGGAGUUGAGGCUCUUUGAAG
rnacentral:rRNA from 1 species